rnacentral:tRNA from 1 species
UAGGUGGUAGCUCAGUUGGAAGAGUGCUUGCCUAGCAUGUUGGAGACUCUGGGUUUGAUCCUCAGCAGCCUAC